AGAGUUUGAUCAUGGCUCAGGAUGAACGCUAGCUACAGGCUUAACACAUGCAAGUCGAGGGGCAGCAUGGUCUUAGCUUGCUAAGGCCGAUGGCGACCGGCGCACGGGUGAGUAACGCGUAUCCAACCUGCCUUACACUCUUGGACAGCCUUCUGAAAGGGAGAUUAAUACAAGAUGUUAUCAUGAGUAAGCAUUUUCGCAUGAUUAAAGGUUUACCGGUGUAAGAUGGGGAUGCGUUCCAUUAGAUAGUAGGCGGGGUAACGGCCCACCUAGUCUUCGAUGGAUAGGGGUUCUGAGAGGAAGGUCCCCCAUAUUGGAACUGAGACACGGUCCAAACUCCUACGGGAGGCAGCAGUGAGGAAUAUUGGUCAAUGGACGAGAGUCUGAACCAGCCAAGUAGCGUGAAGGAUGAAGGUUCUAUGGAUUGUAAACUUCUUUUAUACGGGAAUAAACGAAUCCACGUGUGGAUUUUUGCAUGUACCGUAUGAAUAAGGAUCGGCUAACUCCGUGCCAGCAGCCGCGGUAAUACGGAGGAUCCGAGCGUUAUCCGGAUUUAUUGGGUUUAAAGGGAGCGUAGAUGGGUUGUUAAGUCAGUUGUGAAAGUUUGCGGCUCAACCGUAAAAUUGCAAUUGAUACUGGCAGUCUUGAGUACAGUUGAGGUAGGCGGAAUUCGUGGUGUAGCGGUGAAAUGCUUAGAUAUCACGAAGAACUCCGAUUGCGAAGGCAGCUUACUAACCUGUAACUGACAUUGAUGCUCGAAAGUGUGGGUAUCAAACAGGAUUAGAUACCCUGGUAGUCCACACGGUAAACGAUGAAUACUCGCUGUAGGCGAUAUACAGUCUGCGGCCAAGCGAAAGCAUUAAGUAUUCCACCUGGGGAGUACGCCGGCAACGGUGAAACUCAAAGGAAUUGACGGGGGCCCGCACAAGCGGUGGAGUAUGUGGUUUAAUUCGACGCAACGCGAAGGACCUUACCAGGGCUUGACAUUGAGUGAAAGGACAAGAGAUUGUCCCCUCUCUUCGGAGACACGAAAACAGGUGGUGCAUGGCUGUCGUCAGCUCGUGUCGUGAGAUGUUGGGUUAAGUCCCGCAACGAGCGCAACCCCUAUUCUUUGUUGCCAGCACGUUAUGGUGGGAACUCAAAGGAGACUGCCGCGGACAACGCGGAGGAAGGCGGGGAUGACGUCAAGUCAUCAUGCCCCUUAUGUCCUGGGCUACACACGUACUACAAUGGGAUGGACAGAGAGUAGCGAAGCCGCGAGGCCAAGCGAACCCCAUAAACCAUCUCCCAGUUCGGAUUGCAGGCUGCAACCCGCCUGCAUGAAGUUGGAAUCGCUAGUAAUCGCAGGUCAGCAUACUGCGGUGAAUACGUUCCCGGGCCUUGUACACACCGCCCGUCACACCACGGAAGUCAUUCACACCCGAAGCCGGCAGGCUAACCUUUAUGGAGGCAGCCGUCUAAGGUGGGGGCGAUGACUGGGGUGAAGUCGUAACAAGGUA
rnacentral:rRNA from 1 species